CUUAAUAAAGAGUGACGGGCGAUUUGUGCAUGCCUAAUGUCUUAUUCUUUAAGUCUUAUUAUUCUUUUUAAAACUUUAGUUUUAAGUCCUCUUUCCCCUCCUUUCCUUUACGGGCCCAUCUUUUUUAAUCUAUGUAUCCCAUGGCCCCCUAUUUAUAAGCUCUGUCUUGAUUUGCUCUUUCAUUUUAAUUAAUUGAACAAGAUAGUUUUUAAAAGUUUCUUUAGUAACAAUGAUAUAGGGGCUAUUUACAUAGGUCUAUUUUAUCGUGGUUUAUCUAUUACGGGACAGGAUCCCCUAUGAAGUUUAAGCACCGCCAUCUUUUACUAAGUUUCGUUUAUUUAACUACUAUUUUUUAUUAUGCUAGAA
rnacentral:rRNA from 1 species